CCAGCGUCCCGCUCUCAUUUGCUCGCCCCUCUUGUCCCCCCGUUAUUUUCUUUCCCCUUUCUCUGAAAUAAGCAGGAAAAGAGAGAUGGAAAUUAAAAGUGGGGAAGGAGAGCUGGGAGAAAAGAAAGGGAGCAGAGGAGAUGAGACGCCUUCAUGCUCCGGCUCUUCUUUCAUUGGACUGAUAAAGGGAAACAUCAAGGCCAGGGGUGGAUGCGUUUUUUUUCCCUGUUAACUGAAUGAGGCUUUUGAGGAGCCGCUCCCCUGAGAGAUGUUUGGAGGAACGGGGAGUGGGAAUACAAGAAGCUGCUGGACAACCAGUCUUCAGAUGAUGAUCACCCUGUGUUAGAGGUAUCCUGUUCUGGAUCCCACUCCUUGGAUCUCCAGAGCUACUUUCUUGUUGUAACUGAACAAACCUGGGAAUCUUACUUACUACACAGACAUUCCUCACAGCUCAAACCCCACUCACCUGCCCACUCUCCAAAGAUGAGAGCUGCUCCUCCUGGAAAACAUCUGUCUUCCCCUUUUGCGUCAACCCACCGAUUGCCACCAAGCAAUUGGUGGGUUGACCAAGCAGUAUCUAUGAUUCAAACCAUUAAGCCCACACUACAGAUCUGUGGAAACGUUAUUCACCAACUUGCUCCAUCUAACUUCUGCCCUGUCUCCCACAGACCUUGCCAGAGACAAGAAUCCAAAUUGAUUCCUGUACAUGACUGCAGAAUAAACC